rnacentral:lncRNA from 1 species
CGAGGACAAUGCACUUUCGGCGAGCCUCGGUGGUUUCCUUGGUGGCGUUGGUACGCUCAAAUUUUGUCGGCUCGAGGAGAUGGUUACGUCACACCUGGCGCUUGCAUGAUCAUCGGAACGUUUGCUCCUGCGGGGAUAAGACACUUCGAUAUUGACCUGCGUUCCCGAUUGGAGGAGAAAGACUCUUGGUCGGUGUCGCCGAAGAAUCGUAGAUUUUUCUGAACGGAGACGCGUUCGGGUGCCGAGGAAGCUUCUUCGUCUUCGGUGCCAGUAGUCAAGAUUUCGCUCUCAGGGAUUCUCGGUUUUUUAUCGACGGGCUGUAAGCGUCAAAGAGGAAAAAUCAGAAGGUCGACUCCACAAUACAAGUCCUCAUUAAAAUAUAAUUAGCGAGGGCCACUUUGCAGAUAAAGUUCUUCACAAUGAAUCCCCAUCGAAGUGGGAUUCGCGAGAUGCAUGUCACAUCUCUCUGCAAAUACGAAGUAAAAAUAAAGCCUCGAGAACAACGAGCAGAAAGCAGUUGAAAAUAUCGAAAGACCAAAAAGAUAGCGAGAGGCAACGAGAGGAAGGGAGGCAAGGAGUACAAUAAAAAAGGAUGAUGCGAGUCUAAAAUUAUCGUGCUGGCGAGAACAUUACAGCAAAUUUCGCGUUCCCGGUAGGCGUUCGCGCGAGCAGAACGCGAGUCCAUUAUCUCUAUAAAGAGUGUGUACAUACGUAUACAUAAAAUAAUAUUAUAUACUUUAUACAUCCACACAGAUAAGAACAUUCACAUGUGUUAUUGUCCGUCUAUAUUUACACGUAUACGUAUGUAGACACAUUGGAAAGAGUUGAUCGCUUGCGGUCCAGUUAAUCCGAUGUAAGGCAGCUCGUUGUUCUUCAAGGGACAAACAAAAAGAAUGCCGAGGAUCCCAGCUCUGCCCUGGGGAUGUUGGAUUAAUGCCUAUGCCUCGCUCCUUCAAACAUGUGUGUGUGUGUGUAUGUUGUUUAAAGGAGGGACAGAAGAGGGAUAAAAUGGGAGCGAGAGGGAAAACCAAAAAGAGAGAAACGAAGAAGAAAGAAAGAGAGAGAGAGAGACGAUGCUGUUUCACGAUCACUCCACGGGAUAGCUCUAUACUUCUCGUUGUGUAUAACACAUACUACGAGGGAGUUACUAGCCCAAGAUACAAAGGUGGAUGUGUGCGAAUCGAAAAAUAAUGACUGGAAGGAGAGCGUGUGGCGCGUCGGGUACUGUGCGGCGUCGGCGGCGUCUUCAUGAGUCAUGACUAUGACCCCACCGAUAUCCAUGUUUUGCCUCAUCCAUAGAUCAUCUUCCACCGAGGGCUGUACUCACCGAGCAACAAAGUAAACGCAGAUCGGCGAUCUCCGUGGUGGGAAGAAGCAAGCCUUCGAAGUCGAGUCUGGUCGGGAAGCGUGAGAAAUAAUGGCUCAUUUUCACAGGCCGUUUUCCAGAGCUUUCCGUUAAUCGGCUUUACAACAAGUGGCCACGCGACGAAAGGUCGCGUCUUUAACGCUAUUUUCCGUACGCGUUCGAAGCCUUCGGAACCGAGAGCCCGCCGAAGCAUCCCCGAAGCGUUCCUGCUUCUCCCAUUUCUGUUUCGUCUACAUAAAUAUAUUUUUACACUCUCAAAGUGUAAUAGCGUUUUAUAGUUGGGCUCCUCCGAAGAGCCGGGGGAACGGGCUUGGAGCAGGAGGAACGGGCACUUAAUCUCCCGAUUAAAUUAAACCACAGAGCGCGCGCGGAGUUAGUUAAGCAUUUAAUCAAACUGGUAAUUGGUGGUUGGUAGUGGCCCUAAUGGCUCACCGGGCGCCCCUUCUGCACCCCUCGGAGCCCAAGCCUUUUUUCGCGAAGCCUCCUCCGACAGAGAGAAAGAGCUAAGAUCUGUUCCACUGACUGAUGAAUGUGCCCGCCAUUGCUGUUUUAUACUUGUAUACGUCAUACCCCGAUGUAUAUCUGUACCGAGGUGAAUCGUUUGUAUAUAUAAAUAGCGAAGACACAUUGCUGGCUGGUAAUAACAUCAGGGAUGUGAGAGACCAAGGAACGAAGAAAAAAUCACCAAUUUCCAAGACGAGCUCUAGGCAUUCUUUUGUCCCUCCGUAUAUGUAUAUCAGACGCGUAUAUUUCUCUCGCUGAGUCCACGUACAAGAACCAACGCGAUCAUGAUCGUUUAAGUGCAUGGGAACGAGCCCCAAGAGACCCCCAGUGAAGCUGUUUACAUUUUACUUUGAGGAAAGAUAUUCACCAGAGAUUUCUGACGUACGCCUCCUGGCUCUGAUUAUCUCUGGUAAGGGUGUUCUUCAAAUCGCAAAAGGGUUCCUCGUCACGGGUGAGUGUUCCCGUAGAGCGGGAGAGGCGGGCGGGCCUAGGAGGGCUGGGGCUUCCGCUUGGGGUCGAGAGACGUCGACGCUGGCUGUAAUCCUCCUGGAAGACGAAAGAUAAACGGGAAUCGUGAGAGCAGUUCAAAUUCCAGGCUAUUUACUCAAAGAAUUGAAGAGCAUCGUCGUCCGCUUACGUUCCUACGAUUUCCAUAUACGAUUAGCUCCGCCGAAAGUUCCUUGAGCAGAGUAUUAAAAAAAGUGGAUCGUUGGAACAUACGAAAACGUGGGGAAGUAGAAAAGGCAAAGGCACGAUGGGCCGAGAGGGGCGCGGGGAGAGCGUGGCCACGUGGGUGGCGCAAUAUCACGGCAGAAAGAUCGGGCGUAGCCGGGGGAUCGUGUCGUUCGGUGCAAAACGCAGCGGCAACUGCGACGCCAAUCUCGAUGAUGGCUCGAACAACGUUUCUCAUCGGUACACUCUCUCUGGCUGGAGAUUUACGAGAUCGGGUGGGAGGAAGCACUGCUGCGGGGAGGGCUCGGAAAUUUUCAUCGCACGAGUGCAAUUGUUAUUGGUGGCAUCAUUUAUUGGGAGCUUGCUGAGCUUGGGAGUUUGGUGAGGAGAGUGAAUUGAAGAAUUUUUUCUAUGGAAAUAUUGGAUUGGAAUUGUCAAGCUGUUAUUUAAGGAGGUUUGAUUGGGGGCAAAUUUCGAUUUUAUGUAUAAUUCUUUGCUCUCCGAGGCUCUGGAAUGGUAUAUUGAAGCAUCGCCGGAUUUUACACUUUCGAUGCGCAACAAUGAUGUUCGGUGAAUCAAAGAUCUCUCGCAACAACAAUCGCACACAACUAUUUUUCGAGGUAUUUUCAUGGUCGAUGGAUUAUUGCUUAAUUACGAGAUUAAUA